rnacentral:rRNA from 1 species
UACAGAGGUCUCAAGCGUUGUUCGGAUUCAUUGGGCGUAAAGGGUGCGUAGGCGGCGCGGUAAGUCGGGUGUGAAAUCUCGGAGCUUAACUCCAAAACUGCAUUCGAUACUGCCGUGCUUGAGGACUGGAGAGGAGACUGGAAUUUACGGUGUAGCGGUGAAAUGCGUAGAUAUCGUAAGGAAGACCAGUGGCGAAGGCGGGUCUCUGGACAGUUCCUGACGCUGA